rnacentral:lncRNA from 1 species
AGAUGGUAAUCCAAUGUAUAAGCAAUGGACUGUUUUAUUCUUGGUGCUUUCAAGACCUGAUGCUUUGUUUUGAACAGGUUGAUACAUCUAGGAGUGAAAUACAUCACCGCUUUCCCUGCUCCCGCCGCCAUUAAAAUUGUGUUUGGCAUCUGACCACCAAGAUACAGAUAUUUCCUAGACUGUUUUGCAGCUAGGUACUUAGAAGUUUUUCUAAGUUAUUUAAACUUCUCACCACACAAAAUCUGGAUUUGUAUCUGUCACGUAGUAAUUGCUUGAUAAAUCAUUUCUCUUUCCUCUGGAGAAAAAUAUCUGCUUUCUUUAAAAUAAAUGUUCCAUCCAUGCAGCUAAGCAGCUAAGGACACGAACAGCCACUGAUACAGGCCAACUCAUCAGUAGAUUAUUGAGAUUUCAUACUAGGACCUUUCAUUGGCUGAACAAAGACAAAGACAGAAAUCAAGGAAGGUCAAAGAAGCAGUCAGUUUUCUGGCACCCAAAGUUGUUGGAGAAGGGUACAGAGUCGGUAAAUAAGUCAUAUGACAGACAGGCAGUAUUUUCUUAUUUUAAUAACAAGUUUAAAAAUCCCACUUCUUGUACUUACCUUCUGUCUGACGUCAUCAGUAUUUUAAAAUGCCAACUGGGAUCAAGUUCAACACUGCAUUACUGAAGAAUCCAGAUUAUCUACAUUUCAAGUGCCAAAUGAAAGAAAGAACCCAGAAAAUAAAACAAUAUGAUGAUAACAGUAAAAUUUUUUAAAAUGAAA